rnacentral:rRNA from 1 species
UACAGAGACUGCGAGCGUUAUUCGGAUUCACUGGGCGUAAAGGGCGCGCAGGCGGCCAAGUGUGUGAGGCGUGAAAGCCCGGGGCUUAACCCCGGAAUUGCACCGCAAACUACAUGGCUAGAGCAUUGGAGAGGGUAGCAGAAUUCACGGUGUAGCAGUGAAAUGCGUAGAUAUCGUGAGGAAUACCAGAGGCGAAGGCGGCUACCUGGACAAUUGCUGACGCUCAGGCACGAAAGCGUGGGGAGCAAAAGGG